rnacentral:rRNA from 1 species
UGGGGAAUAUUGGGGCAAUGGGGCGCAAGCCUGACCCAGCAACGCCGCGUGAAGGAAGAAGGCCCUCGGGUUGUAAACUUCAGUCAACAGGGAAGAAACAAAUGACGGUACCUGUGGAGGAAGCCACGGCUAACUACGUGCCAGCAGCCGCGGUAAUACGUAGGUGGCGAGCGUUAUCCGGAUUUACUGGGUGUAAAGGGUGUGUAGGCGGGACGGCAAGUCAGAUGUGAAAACUAUGGGCUUAACUCAUAGCCUGCAUUUGAAACUGCUGUUCUUGAGUGUCGGAGAGGUAGAUGGAAUUCCGUGUGUAGCGGUGAAAUGCGUAGAUAUACGGAGGAACACCAGUGGCGAAGGCGGUCUACUGGACGAUUACUGACGCUGAGACACGAAAGUGUGGGGAGCAAACAGGAUUAGAUACCCUGGUAGU